ACAAUACACAGUUAUGUCAGUAGACAAAUACACAAGUGGUAUCAAAAGUGGUAUGUACAUAAGUGAUAUAAAACAAUUGGCAUCUGUAUAAAACAAGUGGUAUGAAACCUGUGAUAUCAAACUCUAUAAGUUUCUACUAUAGCAUGUGGGCUACAUUGAAAUCUGUCAUAUCAAUAGGUUUAAUCGAUUAAGUACAGGCC
rnacentral:lncRNA from 1 species